GUUCUUGCCUGGGCACUGGUUCUUCUGCAGGUGUUGGCCAUUUUCUCUCCAACACUCCUUGGGUAACCGAAAGUGGGGUCCAGCUGCUCACUGCUCAAAAGCCAAUAAAGAGGCAAGAAAGAGAAAAAUCUUACCGGAGAAAACCAGGCCAAGCUCAACAAGGCCAAGGAGUUUUCCUGCAAGAAAUGAUUCCAUCUGUAACAAGUUCUGUCAUGGCUCAUACUGG